AUUGUUUUAAGUCCUCAUUGGGCAUUUUAAGUUCUGUUUGAAAGAGCUGCAUCACAAUUCUUAUAAAGGACUUGUUGAAUCAUAAGCUGUUUCCUUAAGCACCAGUUAUGUGGGAGACCUUGUGCCAGGCACUGGGCCACAUAAAUGAGAAUCACAAGGACCAGGAUUAAGAAGAGACAGGUUGCAGUGUUGGACUACAUAGAAAGUACAUAUCCUUCAUUAGUGCUGGCAAGACAGAUGAAUUAAUGCCUUUCAGGGAACUUCCCUAUUUGUUUAAUAUCUAACUAGCCCUAAGGUUAAUAUUCAAAAUUAUUGAUAAAAUGCAUUAGGAGAUCUGAUGAUAGAUGUCUUAAGAAGAAGAUCGAAGAUCAGAGUUUCGGAAGGACAUUCUCACACAGAUCUCAGUUUACCUCCUAUUCCACAGGGCAUAAAUAUGCAAUGGCACUAUUCAUAAACUCAACCAAUGGCACAAUCAUUUUAAUACUGACAUGCUUCAGUACAAAUAAAUAUAAUUCAGAGAAAAUCUUCCAUGAAUAUUCCUUAUGGAGCUGAAAAAAAUAUUAUCUGAAGCAAGAUGUUACUAUGGGAGGAUUAUAUUACGUGCACUGUGUUUUGGCAAUGCUUUGGGAUACAGUCAUUAAAUAGGUUGGCUGAAAAUUCAUUUUACUGGUUAAUUAAAUCCAAGAGUUUGCAAGAACGCUCUACAGUAAGGUAAAUAAGUCAUUUAGUCAGGAACUCUGCACAUUUACCUCUGCAUUUAUCAAAUAUUUGUUGAAGGAAAUAAUAAAAGAAGUGAGGAAGAAGAGGUUUCCUGGGAUGUGUGAGAUUGGAAGAAAUCUUGUGAGUAAUCAUGAAUUUUAGGAAUCCCAGAAGGGAGCAAAGAAGAUUCUGAAAAAAAGAGAAAUACUUCUCUGAGUUGGAAAUUGGUUAAAUUUAGUGAUGUUUGAGCCUCAGCCUACAUUGGAA
rnacentral:lncRNA from 1 species